AAGGAAUGGAUGCGGAACUCGUGGAAUUGGAUCGCUGUUGGAUGACUUAGUUUAUUUUUGGAAGAAAUUUAUUAUUUUUAUUUAUUUAUUUCUAAUUUUGGAAAGUUAAUCCAAUUUAUUGCUACAUAUGACUGCACCAGAAGGAAUGGAUGCGGAACUCGUGGAAUCGGAUCGCUGUUGGAUGACUUAGUUUAUUUUUGGAAGAAAUUUAUUAUUUUUAUUUAUUUAUUUCUAAUUCUGGAAAAUUACUCGAAUUUAUUGCUAAGUCCCAAAUGCAAUGCAGUGUGAACGGCCUAUUAUACGAUGCGUUGCAGUACGGAAUGCCCCGAACACCCUGUGUGACGGCACACACACCAAUAAGCAAUGCAAAUAAUAGAAAAAACAAACACCUAAUAAUUAAAACUACUGAAAUGUCAGCUAGAUAAUUAUUGGGUUGUGGUUUUUAUUCGGGAUGCCGCGGAGAUCAGGAACCCAAUAAAAAACGCCGCCCUUCGAUUCGCCGGUCCGACAAAUAUGCCAAGCACAACUUAACAUCAUCUGCGUACAUAAGUACGCGAGAAUGACUUAUAAUUGAGGGAAGAUUGUUAAUAAAUAAUGUAAAAAGUAACGGACCCAGAUUAGAGGUGCAGAAACAUAACAUAACAUCGAUGUUUUCAAAACAUCGAAACCAUCGAUGGUUCGUGACCACCAUCGAUGUUUUCACUAACAACUCUGCGCUCGGUGCGAACAAAUUGAUUUCUAGUUGGUGGUGUUGGUGGUGUGUCCACCCGAGACGAUGCCAAAAGGAAAACACUCCUGACACUUGCGACCCCAUAAAGUAUUGGGAGAUGACUGAUGACAAUGAAUUAAAAUUGGUUUCAAAAAAAUAUUUCUGUGUACGAGCCUCGUCCUAUGAGUCUGAAAGGGUGUUCAGCAAAGCUGAACAAACUGUAUCUGAUCGCAGAACAAGGCUUAAACCUGAAGUUGUUGAUAAACUUCUUUUCCUCAACAAAAAUAGACACUUUAAUUGAUCUCAAAUAAACCUCAUUGUUAUCGUU